rnacentral:rRNA from 1 species
CUACGAGUUUGAUCCUGGCUCAGAUUGAACGCUGGCGGCAUGCCUUACACAUGCAAGUCGAACGGUAACAGGUCUUCGGAUGCUGACGAGUGGCGAACGGGUGAGUAAUACAUCGGAACGUGCCCGAUCGUGGGGGAUAACGCAGCGAAAGCUGUGCUAAUACCGCAUACGAUCUACGGAUGAAAGCGGGGGAUCGCAAGACCUCGCGCGGACGGAGCGGCCGAUGGCAGAUUAGGUAGUUGGUGGGGUAAAGGCUCACCAAGCCUUCGAUCUGUAGCUGGUCUGAGAGGACGACCAGCCACACUGGGACUGAGACACGGCCCAGACUCCUACGGGAGGCAGCAGUGGGGAAUUUUGGACAAUGGGCGAAAGCCUGAUCCAGCCAUUCCGCGUGCAGGAUGAAGGCCCUCGGGUUGUAAACUGCUUUUGUACGGAACGAAACGGCCUUUUCUAAUACAGAGGGCUAAUGACGGUACCGUAAGAAUAAGCACCGGCUAACUACGUG